rnacentral:rRNA from 1 species
AAGUUGCAGGGUAUAGACCCGAAACCCGGUGAUCUAGCCAUGGGCAGGUUGAAGGUUGGGUAACACUAACUGGAGGACCGAACCGACUAAUGUUGAAAAAUUAGCGGAUGACUUGUGGCUGGGGGUGAAAGGCCAAUCAAACCGGGAGAUAGCUGGUUCUCCCCGAAAGCUAUUUAGGUAGCGCCUCGUGAAUUCAUCUCCGGGGGUAGAGCACUGUUUCGGCAAGGGGGUCAUCCCGACUUACCAACCCGAUGCAAACUGCGAAUACCGGAGAAUGUUAUCACGGGAGACACACGGCGGGUGCUAACGUCCGUCGUGAAGAGGGAAACAACCCAGACCGCCAGCUAAGGUCCCAAAGUCAUGGUUAAGUGGGAAACGAUGUGGGAAGGCCCAGACAGCCAGGAUGUUGGCUUAGAAGCAGCCAUCAUUUAAAGAAAGCGUAAUAGCUCACUGGUCGAGUCGGCCUGCGCGGAAGAUGUAACGGGGCUAAACAAUGCACCGAAGCUGCGGCAGCGACACUGUGUGUUGUUGGGUAGGGGAGCGUUCUGUAAGCCUGUGAAGGUGUACUGUAAGGUAUGCUGGAGGUAUCAGAAGUGCGAAUGCUGACAUAAGUAACGAUAAAGCGGGUGAAAAGCCCGCUCGCCGGAAGACCAAGGGUUCCUGUCCAACGUUAAUCGGGGCAGGGUGAGUCGACCCCUAAGGCGAGGCCGAAAGGCGUAGUCGAUGGGAAACAGGUUAAUAUUCCUGUACUUGGUGUUACUGCGAAGGGGGGACGGAGAAGGCUAUGUUGGCCGGGCGACGGUUGUCCCGGUUUAAGCGUGUAGGCUGGUUUUCCAGGCAAAUCCGGAAAAUCAAGGCUGAGGCGUGAUGACGAGGCACUACGGUGCUGAAGCAACAAAUGCCCUGCUUCCAGGAAAAGCCUCUAAGCAUCAGGUAACAUCAAAUCGUACCCCAAACCGACACAGGUGGUCAGGUAGAGAAUACCAAGGCGUUUGAGAGAACUCGGGUGAAGGAACUAGGCAAAAUGGUGCCGUAACUUCGGGAGAAGGCACGCUGAUAUGUAGGUGAAGUCCCUCGCGGAUGGAGCUGAAAUCAGUCGAAGAUACCAGCUGGCUGCAACUGUUUAUUAAAAACACAGCACUGUGCAAACACGAAAGUGGACGUAUACGGUGUGACGCCUGCCCGGUGCCGGAAGGUUAAUUGAUGGGGUCAGCGCAAGCGAAGCUCUUGAUCGAAGCCCCGGUAAACGGCGGCCGUAACUAUAACGGUCCUAAGGUAGCGAAAUUCCUUGUCGGGUAAGUUCCGACCUGCACGAAUGGCGUAAUGAUGGCCAGGCUGUCUCCACCCGAGACUCAGUGAAAUUGAACUCGCUGUGAAGAUGCAGUGUACCCGCGGCAAGACGGAAAGACCCCGUGAACCUUUACUAUAGCUUGACACUGAACAUUGAGCCUUGAUGUGUAGGAUAGGUGGGAGGCUUUGAAGUGUGGACGCCAGUCUGCAUGGAGCCGACCUUGAAAUACCACCCUUUAAUGUUUGAUGUUCUAACGUGGACCCGUGAUCCGGGUUGCGGACAGUGUCUGGUGGGUAGUUUGACUGGGGCGGUCUCCUCCUAAAGAGUAACGGAGGAGCACGAAGGUUGGCUAAUCCUGGUCGGACAUCAGGAGGUUAGUGCAAUGGCAUAAGCCAGCUUGACUGCGAGCGUGACGGCGCGAGCAGGUGCGAAAGCAGGUCAUAGUGAUCCGGUGGUUCUGAAUGGAAGGGCCAUCGCUCAACGGAUAAAAGGUACUCCGGGGAUAACAGGCUGAUACCGCCCAAGAGUUCAUAUCGACGGCGGUGUUUGGCACCUCGAUGUCGGCUCAUCACAUCCUGGGGCUGAAGUAGGUCCCAAGGGUAUGGCUGUUCGCCAUUUAAAGUGGUACGCGAGCUGGGUUUAGAACGUCGUGAGACAGUUCGGUCCCUAUCUGCCGUGGGCGCUGGAGAACUGAGGGGGGCUGCUCCUAGUACGAGAGGACCGGAGUGGACGCAUCACUGGUGUUCGGGUUGUCAUGCCAAUGGCACUGCCCGGUAGCUAAAUGCGGAAGAGAUAAGUGCUGAAAGCAUCUAAGCACGAAACUUGCCCCGAGAUGAGUUCUCCCUGACCCUUUAAGGGUCCUGAAGGAACGUUGAAGACGACGACGUUGAUAGGCCGGGUGUGUAAGCGCAGCGAUGCGUUGAGCUAACCGGUACUAAUGAACCGUGAGGCUUAACCUUACAACGCCGAAGGUGUUU